UUGGAUCUACUCAGAUCAGGCUUUUCUCCUUAUCAUUCCACAAAGUUAUUCUUAUCCAGGUCACCAGUGGCUUCCUACUUUGUCACAUCCAGUAGUCCAUCUUCAGUCCUUGUUUUAUUGUCCACAUAGCGGCAUUUAAGGGAAGAUCACGCCUUCCUUCUUGAGAUGCUUUCUUUAUGUGGCUUCCCAGAUACUGCUAUUUCCUCCUUCUUUUCAGCAUCCUUUUCUGGUCCCUCCUCAUCUUCAUGACCUUGAAACAUUACAGGGCUUUUUUUUUUUUUUUCCCCCCUCAGGGCUCACCUUUUCCACCUCCUCUCUUUCUAUCUCUACUUCCCUGAGUGACCCCAUCUGUUGGAGGGCGGAGGGAAUGAAGUGUCCAUCGAACUGAGAGUGUAUCUUGAAACUGAGAAACGAAGCAGGCAGCUCCAUGUAAUCAAUGGAUCCAUUUAUAAUAGGGUAAUUUACUCACAGGGUGAAAUCAGGAUCAGGUGGACAGCACUCCAGAAGCAUUCACAGCCACUUUCUGUAUCACCAAGGGGUUAUUGGGAUAAUUUUAUGGCUAAACUUAGAGUGUGGAAGUAGCUGCUUGGAAAUAAGAUACACAUUCCUAAGUCAAGGUUUAUGAUGGGUAACUAAUCCUUAACUCACUGUACCAGGCUAGGGAUUGAACCUGUGUCCCAGUGCUCCCAAGAUGCUUCUGAUCCCACUGCACCACAGUGGGAAUACCAUAGGUCCUAUUUUUUGCAAAAUAUUUUUGGGAAAUGCUAGAACAGACUCUUAUUUGUAAUAAGCCAUGUUUGAGGGUGAGGUAGAUAGGGUGGAUGUUAUAUAACCUGAGUCUUUUUCCCUUGACUAAGAAAACAUUUCAGUGUGUAGGAAAACUGUUUAUCCAAAAGACCUGAAUUUAUCCCAAGGGUGUGCUCGGAUAACUCAUUAGCUAUGAUCUGGCUAAUUAUUUCUUCUUUGAUUUUGAAAAGUGUUUUUACCUUUGAGUGUUUUUGCAUAGUUUUAUAUUUAUAAGCAAAGUGUGGAAUGACUUGGAAGCAGUUCCUCCUAGGGCUGUUCACCUAGUUCAGACUUGUCUUUUCUCUGCUUUCGUCUCAGUUCCCCGGAUGAUUGCUGCUGUGCCCUUUGGGAUUUCAGCAUCGUGCAGGAAGCCCCUAGGCAGCCUCUGUCAUGUUCUAGCACCAGACCUACCUUGACUCUGUCAGAAGCAGCUCUGAGUGGGCAGGGGGUGUUUCUGUUUUGUUUACCAUUGUAGAUCCCAUUACCUGGCACCAUGCUGUUCCCAUAAUAGGGGACCAAUUAACCUUUGUUGCACAAACCUUUGAAAAGUAGCAUAUUCACUUGACCCUGCCUCAUGAUGACUUAUAUUUAGGACUCAGCUUUAAUGAAUUUUCUUUGAAACUAUGAUUACAAAUGCAUUCCCAAUGGGUUUCAUAAAUAGAACAUGUUUCGUGUAUUAUUUUGUCCGCUGUAAAACUGCUGAGAUUCUGAAUGGAAACCCAAGUACCUUUUCCUCCUGUUUCCAUAAUCUCAGCUCACAAACCAUAAUAUGGACAUUCUUGGAAAGAUUCUUUAGGUGGUUUGAAUAAUUCGUAGUAAACGGAUUUGACAAAAAGAUUCCAUUUGGGUGAUUUGAAGGCCACCAUAAUGUUUAAAGCAGCUCGUGUGAUGGGCAUUUCCAGAGGAAGCUUGCUCUGAGGAACAACCCAUGUCAUCUUUUGAUUUUUGAAAAGGUAGAAGGAGUGAUGUCAGUCCACAGUGGGAGUGGUGGUUUGAUGUUUGAUUUCUUAGUAAGGGUCAGCAGAAAAGCCGUGUUCUUUCUGAAAAUUGGAAAAAUAAAAGGUUACUUGGAAAAGCCCAAGAUGGUUGUCUCGUAGCCUGCUCUCUUAAGCACAAAGUGAUGUGCCCGUCCCUCUUAGCUUUUCCGAGGGUGUCCUCUGAUUUGCACAGUAAGAAGAACUGCAUUGUUUCUGGCUAAUUAACGCUGAGUGCUAAUGUCUGAGUAUUGGUGUCUUGACUUGCUCUAAUUAAGUUCAGCAAAUUCAAAGGCCACCUGAAUAGGGAUGGGAUGGACAUUUGCUUUAGGAAGAGGUGAUAAAACCAAAGGUGAGGAAGCCAGUAGGGCUAUAAUUUAGACCCUGACAUCAGUUAUGUUUUUGUAGUUCUUCGUGGAUAUCACCAUAGUUACAGGGUCUCUGGAAAUCACACAUAUAUUCCAGCAAGAAAAAUGAAGGGACUUGUGGCUGCAGGUGAAAUAACCUAAAUCUUUUAUCGUCCUGUAGCUUUUGGAAAAAACCUUUUGCUUCUACACAUGUUAUGGUUCUUUUAAAAAGGCUCAGAGGACUGGGAUAUUAAAUGUCUAUUGGUCAAAGAUAAUAUUUAUUGAGGUCUUACAACGUGCCAGUCUCUGUCUUAAGAUUAUUGUCUUAAUUCUAAAGUAAACCUGAGGUGGUGCAUUAGUCUUGGGUCUCCAGAGAAAUGGAACCAAUAGGAUGUGGAUCUGUUCGACACUACAGUAUAAUUUCUAUCCUCUAUCCAUAUCCAUAUCUUUAUCUCUAUACCCAUACCUGGAGAGAUUUAUUAUAAGGAGGUGGCCCACACCCAACUAGGGAGGCUGAGAAGCCCAAGAUCUGGCAAGUUGGCAAGCUGGAGACCCAGAAGAGUAGAUGGCGUACGAUUCCAGGCUGAGUCUGGGGAAGGCAAGAGAAUACCAGUAUCCCAUUCGGUCAAGAGCAAAUUCUUUCUUGCUCAGCCUUUUACUCUAUUCAGGCCUUCAACCAGUGGGCUGAGGCCCACCCACCUUGCAGAGGGCAAUCUUCUUAAGCCAGUCUGCCAAUUCAGAUGUUCGCCUUAUGCAGAAGCACCUCCACGGACACACACAGGGUGAUGUUUAACCAUCUAUCUGGGAACCCCACAUGUCAAGCUGACAUUUAUUUUAUUUAUUUAUUUAUUUUUUCAAGCUGACAUUUAGAAUUAACCAACACCGGCAGGUCCUGUUUUAAUCCUUUGUAGAGAUGAAGAAGUGGAGGUGUAGCAUGGCUGAGUAACUUGUCCAAGGUCACACGCUGCUAAUGGUGGAGGCAGAGCACAAACCCAGGCAUUCUGGCUCCCCAAAUCCUCACUUGAAUGGGUACAACAAACUGUCUUUCAGAGGAGGAGACUGAGAAGGGGGAGGAAGGCUAGGAAAGGGGGGAGCAAGAGAGUCCAGUAUUGUGCCUAAGCACAGCUGACUAGUUAGAGGCUGAGCUGGGAUUUGAACCCACGUCUCUUGACUUGAGACUCAGCCCCUGGGAAGUCCUUCAACUCCAAUAUGGCAUACCCUCUGUAUAACAGACAUUUUGCUUGUGAAAGGCAAAAAGUUAACUUCUGGUUAUACCCCCUGAGUUGUUGACUGAAGCACUCUGUACAGUAGUUCUGGCUGUCUCACCUUAUCAGCAUUGUGGUUUGUGUCUAUAAUAUUUCAGUCCUAAAAUAUUCUCAGAUGAGUUGGCUUGCAUGGACGAGUAUGGUAAUUAUUUUAAUAACACCACCUUCCAUUUUAAAGCGCUUCAAACUUUUUAGAGCACUCCCAUAUAUACACAUUAUUUUAAAAACGGAUUAGCUCGACAGAGUAGAUUUACUCUGGCGUUGUGACCUUUUGUGGCCGUGAAUGGAGAAAAGGCUUUUACCUCUUCUUAGCCAAGAGUAGAAGAGAAAAAAAUGAGUUAUGAGAAGAUGCUGGAAGAGAAAAGAGUGUUUAUUUAAGCAGCAUGAUCAUUGGCAGGCAGCUCUGAUGGAGAUGUAGAGUCAUAGAAACCAUGGGCCUUGAAGCCAGGCAGUUCUGGGUUUUAAUCGUGGGUCAACCACCUACACGUUGUAUUACCUCUUUGGACCUUUUCUUCUUUGUAAGAUGGGAAUGAUGCUUUGUCCUUUACAGGAUGGUUGUAAGGACAAGAAGUACUUGUCUAGGGAAUGGCACAUAGCAAGCCAUUGAUAAAUAAGAGCCAUUACAAUUCCCCCACCUUCUACUGGUAAGGCUCACUUUUACCAGCCGGGGGAAGAUCUUCAUCCUGCCUGCUCUUUCUCUCCUGUGGGGACCAUAUCUGACCUGUCCCUGCAGUGGGGCCGCUGCGGAGUCAUCCUGCUGCUCCAGGCCAGGUGUGGUUAGAGACCACCUGUCUCUUACCUGCUAUGUAUGUGUCCAGACUGGAUAAGGGGGCCUCUGCCCUCGUUCCAGGUUUGCAUUGUGCAUCCCUUCGGAGCCCAGCUUGCCUGGCCGGCCCACUACCACCUGCCCUACCCCUCUCCAUCCCUAUCCAGGCCUCUUUCCCCUGAGCUGUCUCUGUCCCUGCUGUACCACUGUUGGCUAACUGUUGGGGUCAAACUCGGCAGAUUAUUUUUUUCCUUCCUUAAUUUUUGUUUGAACAAAGAAUUGUUUCACAUAGGCAUUCCUGUGGUGGCUCAGUGGUUAACGAAUCCAACUAGGGACCAUGAGAUUGCGGGUUCGAUCCCUGGCCUUGCUCAGUGGGUUAAGGAUCCGGUGUUGCCGUGAGCUGUGGUAUAGGUCACAGACGCGGCUCGGAUCUCACAUUGCUGUGGCUGUGGCGUAGGCUGUGGUGUAGGGUCCAAUUGGACCCCUAGUCUUGGAACCUCCAUAUGCCGCAGGUGCAGCCC
rnacentral:lncRNA from 1 species